rnacentral:rRNA from 1 species
CCUACGGGAGGCUGCAGUGGGGAAUAUUGGACAAUGGCGAAAGCCUGAUCCAGCCAUGCCGCGUGUGUGAAGAAGGCCUUCGGGUUGUAAAGCACUUUCAGUGGGGAAGAAAGCCUUGGGGCUAAUACCCUCGAGGAAGGACAUCACCCACAGAAGAAGCACCGGCUAACUCCGUGCCAGCAGCCGCGGUAAUACGGAGGGUGCGAGCGUUAAUCGGAAUUACUGGGCGUAAAGCGCGCGUAGGCGGUCUGAUAAGCCGGUUGUGAAAGCCCCGGGCUCAACCUGGGAACGGCAUCCGGAACUGUCAGGCUAGAGUGCAGGAGAGGAAGGUAGAAUUCCCGGUGUAGCGGUGAAAUGCGUAGAGAUCGGGAGGAAUACCAGUGGCGAAGGCGGCCUUCUGGACUGACACUGACGCUGAGGUGCGAAAGCGUGGGUAGCAAACAGGAUUAGAUACCCCGGUAGUC